GACGGGGGGGGCAAGCGUUGUUCGGAUUUACUGGGCGUAAAGGGCGCGUAGGCGGCCACCGCAAGUCGACUGUGAAAUCUCCGGGCUUAACCCGGAAAGGUCAGCCGAUACUGCGGGGCUAGAGUGCAGAAGGGGCAAUCGGAAUUCUUGGUGUAGCGGUGAAAUGCGUAGAUAUCAAGAGGAACACCUGAGGUGAAGACGGGUUGCUGGGCUGACACUGACGCUGAGGCGCGAAAGCCAGGGGAGCAAACGGG
rnacentral:rRNA from 1 species